rnacentral:snRNA from 1 species
GCACUUGCGCAGAGGCAAUAAGUGACCAAUGAGGCUCUGCCGAGGUGCGUUUAUUGCUGGUUGAUGACACGCAAACACUUGUGGCCUCUGCACUUUUACCUUACUUCUGUACUUCACAACAAGAACUUUUAGAGAUGAGAUUUCCCA